rnacentral:misc_RNA from 1 species
GCAAUCACCAACAUUUUUUUGAUAACCAUGGUGUACGGGUUAGCUCGCACGCACCUCGACUACUCUAUGGGAUACUUGCUACCUUCCACCAGCAUAGGUACCGGAUAACUUUGUUCACCAAAGCUUGAGUUGCAAAUGCCAAAGUUCUACCAUCAAAUUAUUCACUUUUUGGAAAGCAUUUGAUCAAUUUCUCCACUCUCGUUGUACAUGCUAACAAUUUUCUUUGCAUAUUCAGGCAUAUGUCUGUCCGCUCUUUCUUUUCCCCAUUUGCGGACUACGUUUAAGUAAUUUCUGAUUGUGUGAUAAUCUAGCGAGUAACGUGCAAAUUCUAGACCCUUCGGUCCGACUAUGUUGAGAAGAAAUGCUAUUAAAUUUCCAACAAACUUUGGAGCAGGUUGAGAAGGACCUCUUCCAAAUUUUGCUUCAUCAUCUGCCUUCACGGUUUCCACGACAAAUGGACGCCGCUUACCACUACUUAUCGUCGGAGUAAUUUCCAAGAGGUUCUCGAUAAGGUUUAGCAUUUCUCUACCACGUUCAUUUCUGACAGUAACAUACUGGGGAUGCUGCAUCAUGCUGAUUCCACUGUAUUUCGGCACACCCAUGUAUCCCACCACCAAAUCCGCCAAGCCAUUUGUGUAGUCAAAACAGCUGUAACAAGAUGGUGCAAUAACAUCAACCAAGUCAUUUGCUGGUAAACAGAAAUAGGGAACCUCUUCAAUAUGGCCAUCCAAAUGCUUCAGAUGGACCUUGUAGUCUUGCAUAAACUCAUAGUGGAGAACUGUUUCAGGUUCACUGCUAGCAGCCUUCAGAAAUUUAUCUAAACCUUCUCGUGGUCCAUUAUCCACACAGUUAGUGCCUAGAACAUAAAGUUUUUCCAGAUUCAAAUAUUGCUCCACUGAUCUUAAAGCUUGAACUUGGCAGCCAACCCCGCAGAAGAGAAGGCGCUUUACACCAGCUGCCUCAACUAAGGCAAGAGUAUUUAGAUUAGGAGACAGUGUCGGCUUAACACCUUUAGCUGCUAUAACUUCCUCUGGAGUCCUUGCCAGGACAGGUCGAGGAGCAAAUCGAUCUUCUGGAUCACUCUGAACACAAAUAACAGCUUCCACCAUCCCAGCUUUUAGCAUCUCCACGGCAAUAGUUGUCACUAUCCCCGUCCAUUGAGCUCCUUCCACAGGCUUAGUUUUACGAGCAUACAAUAGAUUCUCAUACACCCCCAUAUAAAUCUCAUCCAAGGAAUCUUCUUUCCGUCCUCGUCCAUGGACAAUAGGUUCCAAAGCUUCAACUCUAGACAUGCCAUCCCCCAAGAAAGCACAUGCAUUAUUCACAUGAGCAAUGUAGUAAGUGUCACACAAACCACAGUGGCUGCAGUGGUCUUUA